CGGCGUAAGGCCGCCGGGACCCGUAGCAAGCCUGACAUAUAUCCUGUAAACCUGUAAAUCCCAUACAUGAUCAACAAAACUCAUAAACCUGUAAACAUUCUCAUAUAACAACCAAGCUCAACCUGUACAUAAACAUAAACAUAUCAUAAACCUCCACUGGAGCCCUCAUCAAAUGCUCCAAUGGGGUAACUCAUCAUACAUAAGCUUGGUAGAAACAUAACCUCAUAUCUCAUAUCAUAAAGACCAUGUACAUGCAAGUGGGAUUAACAAUCUGUAUUGGUCAAGCACAACUCUAUCCUCAAUAUUCAAAUUACAUAAUCAUAACUUAAAACUCUUUUACAUUACAUCAUAAAACAAUCGUCAUGUCCACAAUCUAACUAUUACAUAACAUCGCUUCAUGCUCUGGCUAACAUCCUGGUCUACCCUGUACCUGCACAUCUGGGGUUAGGGGAGAGGGGUGAGCUAUAAAGCCCAGUGAGUAGAAUAGGGAAAACAUAUAUUAAAUAUUUCAUGCUUCCAUGAAAUGCAACACAUCACAAACAUAUCACAUAAGGAUGGUAUUGUCACCUAUAGUCCUCAACAUAGUCCAAUCGUGCCAGGGGCGUAGAAUGGGCCUCACUGGUCUUUCUCUUACAUACAUAACAUAACAUAACAUUCCAAUAUGCCAGGGGCGUAGAAUGGGCCUCACUGGUCUUUCUCUUAACAUAGUCCAGGGGCGUAGAAUGGGCCUCACUGGCAAUCCAUACCGUAUCCUCAUCAUAUCAUACCAUAGGAGGACUAGAGGAUCAUCCAAUAGCCAAUCCGCAUCCACAUCAUAUUAUGCAAUGCAACAUAUUCGUGAACACUAAUGCAAACAACCUAGAAUAUCACAUGGCAUAUAUGAUGCAUGAACAUGCUCCAAAUAGUUAUAUUUCAUUUAUUUAAAAACUUAAGGUUCAUUCCACUCACCUCUGGCUGAAGC
rnacentral:lncRNA from 1 species